rnacentral:antisense_RNA from 1 species
GCGCAGCCGCGACCUGGGUGAGUGGCUUUGCUGCGAGCCCACGCGCCCUUUGCCCAGAGGCUCCCAGACCCGCCCAGCGGGAGGAGGGGACGGACCCCACUACUUACAGACAUUCACCGAGCCGACGCCCUCACAUAGCCUGCAGGGAGAGAAGGCGAGAGGGCCAAGGGCCUGACUGUCCACAAAAAAAAGGAGCUUCGAGUGAGACCAACUGACCAACUAGGGGAAAGAAACCAAGGGCAAAGAAUGAGCUCACAUUCUGGGAGUGUUGUCCUUCUGGGAGCAGGAGCUGUAUAGCUGCCCUCCAGCUGUAUAGCUGGCCUCCAGCCAUAGGAAGGCUGAGUGACCAAUGGGUCUUCUCCACUCCCCCCACCUCUGAAGCAAGCAAACAAGCAAAAAUCCUGAAAGCAAGGCAUAACUGCCCCAAGGGAUAAGUCCUUGCUCUCUGCCUAACUCAUUCCCACCUGCCACAAUGGAAUACCACUUUGGGAUGCUCAUUGGCACUAUAACAGAAAAGCAUGAGUUGAUAGUGUCAUCUAUCUGAAGCUGUCCUUAUGGGAUACAUCUGAACUCCCAGGUCUGGAGAUGGGGCCAGGGCCAGACUAGGAAAAAGAGAAGGAAUCCU